rnacentral:lncRNA from 1 species
AUGGCUGACAACUCUCAGAAGAUGAGCUACCACGCUGGAGAGGCCAAGGGCCAAGCUCAGGUAAUUAGCUCACCUGUAAAUUGUAAUUCUCAAUUUGCUUUUGCUUCUUUCUUCUGUUUCCUUUUAGAUUGAUGUGGGAUGUUUUGUAUUGGAUAAUUUUGGAUUUAACAGGAGAAGGCCGGUGGGAUGAUGGAUAAGGCUAACAAUGCAGCCCAGUCUACCAAGGAGACAAUGCAAGAUGUUGGUCAGAAUGUGCAGGCGAAGGCUCAAGGAGCUGCUGACGCAGUCAAGAAUGCCACUGGCAUGAACAAAUGA